rnacentral:lncRNA from 1 species
UAGAGGUAUGGGACUGUAGGUGGAGGUAUAGAGGUAUGGGACUGUAGGUGGAGGUAUAGAGGUAUGGGACUGGAGGUGGAGGUAUAGAGGUAUGGGACUGGAGGUGGAGGUAUAGAGGUAUGGGACUGGAGGUGGAGGUAUGGGACUGUAGGUGGAGGUAUAGAGGUAUGGGACUGUAGGUGGAGGUAUAGAGGUAUGGGACUGUAGGUGGAGGUAUAGAGGUAUGGGACUGGAGGUGGAGGUAAAGAGGUAUGGGACUGGAGGUAUAGAGGUAUGGGACUGUAGGUGGAGGUAUAGAGGUAUGGGACUGUAGGUGGAGGUAUAGAGGUAUGGGACUGUAGGUGGAGGUAUAGAGGUAUGGGACUGGAGGUGGAGGUAUAGAGGUAUGGGACUGUAGGUGGAGGUAUAGAGGUAUGGGACUGGAGGUGGAGGUAUAGAGGUAUGGGACUGUAGGUGGAGGUAAGGAUGACAGAGGCAGAGAAUAUUACCGUUUACAGAGAAUUUAUUUCCUCAACACGGUAAUGUGGGGAAAGGGGGCUGGACGGAACCAAAGCAAAGAAAGUAA